rnacentral:rRNA from 1 species
AUUGAACGCUGGCGGCAGGCCUAACACAUGCCAGUCGAGCGGAUGAAGGGAGCUUGCUCCUGGAUUCAGCGGCGGACGGGUGAGUAAUGCCUAGGAAUCUGCCUGGUAGUGGGGCAUAACGUCCGGAAACGGGCGCUAAUACCGCAUACGUCCUGAGGGAGAAAGUGGGGGAUCUUCGGACCUCACGCUAUCAGAUGAGCCUAGGUCGGAUUAGCUAGUUGGUGGGGUAAAGGCCUACCAAGGCGACGAUCCGUAACUGGUCUGAGAGGAUGAUCAGUCAACUGGAAACUGAAACACGGCCAGGCCUCUAAGGGGAGGCAGCAGUGGGAAAUUUGGAAAAAUGGGCGAAGGCUUAACCAGGCCAUGCGGGGGGGGUAAAAAAGUUUUCCGAUUGUUAAAGCCCUUUAAGUUGGAGGAAGGGGAGGUAAGUUAAAACCUGGUUGUUUGACGGUACCAACAGAAUAAGCACCGGCUAACUUCGUG